rnacentral:lncRNA from 1 species
UAGUGCAUAUUUCGGCAUGUAUUAGCCAUGAUAAACGGUAGCUCGAAAAAGAAUAGAGCUAAGGACAGAGUAAAAUAGUUACCGAUGGCAGCUGUCAAAUAUUGGGUUACAAAUCUAUAGAAAGAUAUUGCAAGCCAUUAAAAAGUACAUUAAAACAUGCGUCUGUAAGGGUUUUGAAAACCUGUAGCUGGAAUGGCUAGGAAUUGUGGGUUUGCAGCUUUUGGUCCAAGGGUGGUACUCAGCUCCCACGGGUGUGACUGUGGGAGACUGCGGUGGAAACAGGGCAGCCUCACCACUGAUGACGCCAGGAUUGGAGAUGGGACUGGGAAAGCAGCUGCAAGUUGAAGAGAAACCCUCCCAGCACCAGCCCCUCCGGAGAGAGUCACAACUUUGGAGCCUAAGUUGUCCAACUCCAUGGUUGACUGCUGAGCUAGAAAGAAAGAAAAAUGGAGGGAAUAAUGGCCCAGACCUCCCCAGUUUAAUGAAAACAUUGAUUUACUGUUCAAAAAACCCAACAAACCCAAAGAUAAACACAGAGACUUUUACUCCUGAGCACAUCAGAGUCAUAGGGUACAGGAGAUAACAGGAGCAUUGAGAAUGGAGGGUACCUUCGUUUCAUGAAUCAAGUGAUGGGAAAACUCAACGUUCUUUGUACUUAGAGGGUACCUGAUGCAAACGGUUCUGUGUAAGAUGGAUCAAAACAAGGUCCUGCUGGAGUUCCCGUGUGGCUCAGUGGUUAGCGAAUCCGACUAGGAACGGUGAGAUUGCGGGUUCGAUCCCUGGCCUUGCUCCGUGGGUUAAGGAUCCGGCGUUGCUGUGAGCUGUGUGGUGUAGCUUGAAGACCUGGCUCGGAUCCCGCGUUGCCUUGGCUGUGGUGUAGGCCAGCCGGUGGCUACAGCUCCGAUUCUACCCCUCGCCUGGGAACCUCCGUAUGCCGCGGAUGCGGCCCUAAAAAAAAAAGAAGACAAAAAAUAAAAAUAAAAAAAUAAACUAAAAUCUGUGAAAGGUGGAUUGCUCAUUGUUUAUAAUUAUAUGGUUUUGGUAGAACAGUAUAUUUCUGGAAUAAAUUAUAAAUGUGAACAUUAAAAAUCAUACAUUGUUUUCACAUG